rnacentral:lncRNA from 1 species
AAACCCAAGAGGCUCCUCUCCAGGGCAGCCCGACUCAGAAAGACCGUCUGAGAUCUUUUCCCGGCUCGGCCAAGCUUGUUGCAUGAUUUUCCAUUUUAAGACUUUGUAUAGGACUUCCCAUCAUGGCGCAGCAGAGUCGAAUCCAACUAGGAACCAUGAGGUUGAGUUUGAUCCAUGGCCUUAUUCAUUGGGUGAAGGAUCUGGGGUUGCCAUGAGCUGUGGUGUAGGUCACAAACAUGGCUCAGCUCUGGCAUUGCUGUGGCUCCAGCAUAGGCCGGCGGCUACAGCUCUGAUUAGACCCUUAGCCUGGGAACUUCCAUAUGCAGUGGGUGCAACCCUAAAAAAGGACAAAAGGGCCAAAAAAAAAAAAAAAAGACUGUAUAUAUUUUGCCUCUCCCUUCUUGCCUGUAGUGUUUCUUUAGAGAAAUCAGCUGAUAGCCUUAUAGGGGUCCCUUUGUAAUUAACUCUUUUUUUUUUCCCUUGCUGCCUUUAGAAUACUCUCUUUAACUUCUACCAUUGUAACUAUAGUAUGUCUUGGUGUAAGUCUCUUUGGAUUCGUCUUGUUUGGGUCUCUCUAUGCUUCUUGAACCUGGAUAUCUGUUUGCUUCUUUAGGUUUGGAAAGUUUUCAGCCAUAAUUUCUUCAAAUACAUUUUCAAUCCCCUUUUCUCUUCUCCUUCUGGAAUCCCUAUUUUGCAUAGAUUGGAUGCUUUAUAUUAUCCCGUAGGUCUCUUUUAUUGCUUUCAUUUUUUAAAUUUGGCUUCUGUCUCCUGUUCUGAUUGGGUGAUUCCCAUUAUUCUAUAUCCCAGGUCACUUACUUGUUCUUCUGUAUUACUCAUUCUGCUAUUCAUUACCUUUAGCUCAGCUUUCCUCUCUGCAAAUUAAUUUUCUAAUUUUUCUGGGCUCCAUUUACUUUCUAGUUGCUUUUUAUAGUAAUCUGCUUUUCCAUCAAUAGCCUUUCUUAAUUCCUUCAGUAUUUCUGUUAUUUCCUUUUUUGAACUCAAUGUCUAUUAGACUGAAGAGGUCUGUUUCAUUUGUUCUUUCAGGGGAUGUCUCUUGGUCUUUCAACUUGGAGUGGUUUCUCUGCUUCUUCAUUUUGCAUAUAUUUCUCUUACUCUGUAAGUUUAAGAGAAACAGUUAUCUACUGUGGCCUUGGAAGGCUAUUUAUGUGCAGAGGUAUCCCUGUGUAGUUUGUGUGGAUUUAAUGUUUUUGGCAUGAAGGCUGUUUUUAGUAUGCAUGACUGCCACCUCUUUCCUCACUGUGUUCUGGCCAUUAUCCCCUUGAUAGGGAAUGUGCAGAUGUGGUGACUUUUGUGUUUCUGGAACCUGAGACAGUGGUGGUAGCAGCUGGCACACACUCCUGUAACCCACAGCACCAGCAGCAGUUAAUGACUGUUACCAGGUAACUCAGCACCAGCUCACACUCAUGCCCCACACUCCAAAACAGUGACAUCUGGUCACCUGAGAGCAUCAUGCACCUGGGGGAAAGGGUGGGUCCUGCCUCUCCCCUCAUGCAUCCCCCAAAAAAUGGCACUUCAUCUGUAUGGCAGGCCCAGGUUUCUUCCACAUACACCCUUGGUUGUAGCUGCACCACACUCUGACCUCUUUAGGCCAUCCCUCGCAGUCAACUCCAGCCCCCUCCCCAGGUCUAACCUCUGAAGCCUGAGCUUUAGCACCCAGCCUCCACCCUCCCAAGAGGAUGUGUCUCAAGCUGAGGAGUGCAGCACAGCAGCACCAGCCAUCUGUACAGGUCUCUCCAUUUUGCCUUCCACAUACCCUGUUGCUGCAUUCUCCUCCAAGGCUCCAAAGCUCCCCCUCCAUCCUGGCUGAUCUCCCUGCCAGUGAAGGGACUUCCCAUGGUGCAGGAACAUUGCCUCUUUUCACAGCUCCCUCCCAGGGGUGAAGGUCCUGUCUUGAUUCCUUUCACUCUCUCUCCCUCUUUUUUCUUUUUCCUCUUAUCCCACCCAGUUAUGUGGAGAUUUUCUUACCUUUUCAGAAAUCUGAGGUCUUCUGCCAGUGUUCAAUAGAUAUUCUGUGAGAAUUGUUCUACAUGUAGAUGUAUUUUUGAUGUAUUUGUGGGAGGAGGUGAGCUCCAUGUCCUACUACUCUAACAUCUUGAUUGCUCCCCUUACUUGCUGAGUUUAAAGCAUUUUUAUCUAUGGAAGAUUUAGAACCAGAGUAAUCAGUCACUUUAUUCAAAAACUUAUCAACUUUGCCUUUUCAAUAAGCUAUUACUUAGAAUUGCUCUGAUCAUUUUAUUCCUCAGUAAUUAGCAUCCCUAUUAUUUACUUGAAGCUUUAUUUAAUCAUCUUAUUAUGUCUUUUCUUUCUCCUAUAUUCCUAACCCUUUUACUUUCCGCUGCCUCUUGCCUGUGUUGUAAGAUCUGACUGAAUAGUAAUACUACUCUUUCUCUUUAGUUCAGUCCAAGGUAAUUAGUUUAAAUGAAGCUGCUUACUGCUGCUGAGAAGAGGACAUGAGGCCUCACUACUAACAAAAAUGAAAAACCAGAAAUGUAAGUCUGUUCUCUUCAAAGACCUUUAGUGACACAUUGAGAUAAGUAAAAAUUUUUUUUCAGAGAGAAAAAAUACAUAUGAUGUGGUCAGUUAUGUAAACUGUUGUAACCCAUCUACUAAGCAAGUGCCUGUGCAACUGAGUCAUAGCGUUUACAAAGCUAAAGUUGGAGAAAGGAAUAUAGCUCAUUCUCCAAGCAUCUUCCCAUCACCUCUCUUCCAGCUGAAUAACCAGAAAAUCAGGGAAGCACUGGGCUAGCAAUACCUGACUUAUCAAAGUCUCCUUUGGAUGUAGAAAUAAUGGUCUUUCAUAAUGUCUAGAGAACUUUGUGACAAGUUUAGAAGACCUUUCCAACUGUGAAUUAAAAAUAUAAUAGAACAAAAAUAUUCCAAAAUGAAUGUUUUAGGAGUUCCCAUUGUGGCUCAGCAGUU